AGGCGGCGGUGGCCGAGGACGGCGACGGCUCCUCCCGCGGGCGGGCACGGUGCCGGCGACGCUGCCCCUCGUACGGGCCGAGCCACCGCCUG
rnacentral:tRNA from 2 species